CGUUUUCGUUUACAAGUAUGAAAGCAUGAUGAUACGUACAAGUUUCGAAAAAGAGACUAAGAUUUCAUAGAAAAACCAUGGUAUAAAUAAAACGGAACGAUCACUUUUUUGGAUGUGGAUGCUCGAAAAUAAAAUUACGAAAAUGUGGUCAGUUAUGUCAACUUUGGUGUCGCAGUUUUCCAUACUCUUCAAUACUCCAUGCUAUUUUGGCGGAUUUCAGACUUGAGCCAACCAUCGUAUCAGCAAAGUUUUGCUUGUGCUGGACCUCCAGUCAUAUGAUUUGACUGAUGACCUCCUGACGUCAGCAACAAUCACAGUAUCAUCACUAAGAUAACAGCAUUCCCUGUAAUUGGAGAAACUUCCAGUGUCUGCCCAUGCCGACUGCCAUUCCAAUGUCCUCGUGUACGCCCAUGUGAAUGUGGGUGUAUUCACGAGGACUCCCGUUUACCCAAGUCCCUUCCCGGUGGAUCCUUCUGUGGAUGGAGCACCUGUGGAUGCCUGGCUGUAUUUCCCAGGCAUAAAGGUAGGAAAAAUUCAUCCC